rnacentral:sRNA from 1 species
GCCAGGUGUGGUAGCACACACCUGUAAUACCAGGAGCUUGGGAGGCUGAGGCAGGAGGAUUUCAAGUUCAAAGCCAGCCUCAGCAACGGUGAGGUGCUAAGCAACUCAGUGAGACCCUGUCUCUA